UGUGUUUAAUAGGUAACAUGCAUAGUCGCAUUUGUCAUCCAUUCUUAUGAUUAUUCAGAUUGAGUUAUUUUUGGAGAAAAACAACAAAAAAGGAGUCCGGAUAUUGAUUCCGUCAUCAGACUGACUUUUAGUCGUAGAUAAGACUUCCGGUUUGAAUCAUGCACAAGUACAACCAAUCGUAUGAUAGAUAACAAAAAUGAAAAAUAAUUAAGCUAAUCAGAGCGUUCUCCAUAUCAUGGUGUUUAGAUCGCAAGAACCACAACUAUUAUACCUCCUAGGGCUUAGAGAGG
rnacentral:lncRNA from 1 species